rnacentral:rRNA from 1 species
GACGAACGCUGGCGGCGUGCUUAACACAUGCAAGUCGAACGGUAAGGCCCUUCGGGGUACACGAGUGGCGAACGGGUGAGUAACACGUGGGUGAUCUGCCCUGCACUUCGGGAUAAGCCUGGGAAACUGGGUCUAAUACCGGAUAGGACUCCUGGCUUCAUGGUUGGGGGUGGAAAGAUUUUGCGGUGUGGGAUGGGCCCGCGGCCUAUCAGGUUGUUGGUGGGGUAAUGGCCUACCAAGGCGACGACGGGUAGCCGGCCUGAGAGGGUGACCGGUCACACUGGGACUGAGAUACGGCCCAGACUCCUACGGGAGGCAGCAGUGGGGAAUAUUGCACAAUGGGCGCAAGCCUGAUGCAGCGACGCCGCGUGAGGGAUGACGGCCUUCGGGUUGUAAACCUCUUUCAGCUAUGACGAAGCGCAAGUGACGGUAGUAGCAGAAGAAGGACCGGCCAACUACGUGCCAGCAGCCGCGGUAA